UUGAAAGAUGGCUCUGCUAUCACUUCGGGAUGGACCCGCGCCGUAUUAGUUAGUUGGNGAGAUAAAAGCNCACCAAGACGAUGAUACGUAGCCGACCUGAGAGGGUAAUCGGCCACAUUGGGACUGAGACACGGCCCAGACUCCUACGGGAGGCAGCAGUAGGGAAUCUUCCACAAUGGACGAAAGUCUGAUGGAGCAACGCCGCGUGAGUGAUGAAGGUUUUCGGAUCGUAAAACUCUGUUGUUAAAGAAGAACAAGUGUUAGAGUAACUGUUAACACUUUGACGGUAUUUAACCAGAAAGCCACGGCUAACUACGUGCCAGCAGCCGCGGUAAUACGUAGGUGGCAAGCGUUGUCCGGAUUUAUUGGGCGUAAAGCGAGCGCAGGCGGUUUUGUAAGUCUGCUGUGAAAGCCCUCAGCUCAACUGAGGAAGUGCAGUGGAAACUACAAAACUUGAGUACAGAAGAGGAAAGUGGAACUCCAUGUGUAGCGGUGAAAUGCGUAGAUAUAUGGAAGAACACCAGUGGCGAAGGCGGCUUUCUGGUCUGUUACUGACGCUGAGGCUCGAAAGCAUGGGUAGCGAACAGGAUUAGAUACCCUGGUAGUCCAUGCCGUAAACGAUGAAUACUAGGUGUUGGAGGGUUUCCGCCCUUCAGUGCCGCAGCUAACGCAUUAAGUAUUCCGCCUGGGGAGUACGACCGCAAGGUUGAAACUCAAAGGAAUUGACGGGGGCCCGCACAAGUGGUGGAGCAUGUGGUUUAAUUCGAUGCUACGCGAAGAACCUUACCAGCUCUUGACAUCUUCUGCCAACCCAAGAGAUUGGGCGUUCCCUUCGGGGACAGAAUGACAGGUGGUGCAUGGUUGUCGUCAGCUCGUGUCGUGAGAUGUUGGGUUAAGUCCCGCAACGAGCGCAACCCUUAUUAUUAGUUGCCAGCAUUUAGUUGGGCACUCUAGUGA
rnacentral:rRNA from 2 species